UCCUCGGUGUUUCUUAACACCACCCAGUGUACAUAGAAACUGCCU
rfam:Hyaloperonospora arabidopsidis Emoy2 Contig88.4, whole genome shotgun sequence.